rnacentral:lncRNA from 1 species
UAAAGAUAAGCCAAUAGAAGAUAUAUUAUCUUGAGUAAGAUAUAUUUGAGAAGAUGAGAUAAUUGUGGAUAUUGAUGAUGUAGAUACAAAUUUUUUUUGAUUUUAUAAUUAAAUAAGUAAAAUAAGUCAUUUCAUGAAGAAAAUUAUAAAAAAGAGUUAUUAGAUAUUAGGCAUGAUUUGAAUUUUUUGACUAAACAUAUUAAUUGAUCAGCUGAGAAAUUUAAAUAAAUCAAAAAAUAGGCAUAUAAGUUUAUAUUA